AGUGCAGAAGUCAGAUGUGUCG
rnacentral:misc_RNA from 1 species